UUUGCCAUAGCUCAGUUGGUAGUAGCGCAUGACUGUUAAUCAUGAUGUCGUAGGUUCGAGUCCUACUGGCGGAG
rnacentral:tRNA from 1 species